UACAGAGGUCUCAACCGUUGUUCGGAUUCAUUGGGCGGAAAGGGUGCGUAGGCGGUCGUGCAAGUCGGAUGUGAAAUCUCAGGGCUCAACCCUGAAACUGCAUUCGAUACUGCGUGGCUAGAGUGCUGGAGAGGAGACUGGAAUUUACGGUGUAGCAGUGAAAUGCGUAGAUAUCGUAAGGAAGACCAGUGGCGAAGGCGAGUCUCUGGACAGCAACUGACGCUGAGGCACGAAGGCCAGGGGAGCAAACGGG
rnacentral:rRNA from 1 species